UGGGGAAUCUUGCACAAUGGGGGCAACCCUGAUGCAGCGACGCCGCGUGAGCGAUGAAGCCCUUCGGGGCGUAAAGCUCUUUCGACCGGAACGAUAAUGACGGUACCGGGGGAAGAAGCUGCGGCUAACUACGUGCCAGCAGCCGCGGCAAUACGUAGGCAGCAAGCGUUGUUCGGAGUUACUGGGCGUAAAGAGUGCGUAGGCGGUUUUCUAAGUUCGGUGUGAAAUCUCCCGGCUUAACUGGGAGGGUGCGCCGAAGACUGGGAAGCUGGAGUGGGGGAAAGGCAGGCGGAAUUCCUGGUGUAGCGGUGAAAUGCGUAGAUAUCAGGAGGAACACCGGCGGUGUAGACGGCUUGCUAGACCAUAACUGACGCUGAGGCACGAAAGCGUGGGUAGCAAACA
rnacentral:rRNA from 1 species